rnacentral:lncRNA from 1 species
AGAAACGAACGGGAGGGAUGUGCUUGGAUAGGGGUGUCGCCGCCGCCGCUGGGCUGGCCAGCUGACAGCCCCUCUGUUUGCAGCCUUAUCGUGAGAGAUGAGAGAUGAGAGAGUUUUAGUUUUUUGUUUAUAUACUUUUGUCGGUUUUCUUUUAUUAUUAUUAUUAUUAUUAGCAUCCAAAUAGGCACUCCCCUGCCCGUUUGUCCGUUUUUUUUAAUAUUCACAUGCGUCAUAAUAUAAAC